UAGGGAAUCUUCCGCAAUGGGCGAAAGCCUGACGGAGCAACGCCGCGUGAGUGAUGAAGGUCUUCGGAUCGUAAAACUCUGUUAUUAGGGAAGAACAAAUGUGUAAGUAACUAUGCACGUCUUGACGGUACCUAAUCAGAAAGCCACUGCUAACUACGUGCCAGCAGCCGCGGUAAUACGUAGGUGGCAAGCGUUAUCCGGAAUUAUUGGGCGUAAAGCGCGCGUAGGCGGUUUUUUAAGUCUGAUGUGAAAGCCCACGGCUCAACCGUGGAGGGUCAUUGGAAACUGGAAAACUUGAGUGCAGAAGAGGAAAGUGGAAUUCCAUGUGUAGCGGUGAAAUGCGCAGAGAUAUGGAGGAACACCAGUGGCGAAGGCGACUUUCUGGUCUGUAACUGACGCUGAUGUGCGAAAGCGUGGGGAUCAAACAGG
rnacentral:rRNA from 1 species